UCAGGAUGAACGCUAGCGACAGGCCUAACACAUGCAAGUCGAGGGGCAGCGCGGGAGAAGCUUGCUUUUCUGGCGGCGACCGGCGCACGGGUGCGUAACAGGUGUGCAAUCUGUCCAUAGUCGGGGAAUAGCCCAGCGAAAGUUGGAUUAAUGCUCCAUGUGUCACGAAGCCGCAUGACUUUGUGAUGAAACGUAAGGACUAUGGGUGAGCACGCUUCUGAUUAGAUAGUUGGUGAGGUAACGGCUCACCAAGUCGACGAUCAGUAGGGGUUCUGAGAGGAAGGUCCCCCACAUUGGAACUGAGACACGGUCCAAACUCCUACGGGAGGCAGCAGUGAGGAAUAUUGGUCAAUGGGCGAGAGCCUGAACCAGCCAAGUCGCCGUGAAGGAUGAAGGUUCUAUGGAUUGUAAACUUCUUUUGUCCGAGGGUAAAAAGGCCACGUGUGGCUUCUUGCAAGUAUCGGACGAAUAAGCAUCGGCUAACUCCGUGCCAGCCGCGGC
rnacentral:rRNA from 1 species